UAACACAUGCAAUCGAGCGUAGAGAGAAGCUUGCUUCUCUGAGAGCGGCGGACGGGUGAGUAAUGCCCUAGGAAUCUGCCUGGUAGUGGGGAUAACGCUCGGAAACGACGCUAAUACCGCAUACGUCCUACGGGAGAAAGCAGGGGACCUUCGGGCCUUGCGCUAUCAGAUGAGCCUAGGUCGGAUUAGCUAGUUGGUGAGGUAAUGGCUCACCAAGGCGACGAUCCGUAACUGGUCUGAGAGGAUGAUCAGUCACACUGGAACUGAGACACGGUCCAGACUCCUACGGGAGGCAGCAGUGGGGAAUAUUGGACAAUGGGCGAAAGCCUGAUCCAGCCAUGCCGCGUGUGUGAAGAAGGUCUUCGGAUUGUAAAGCACUUUAAGUUGGGAGGAAGGGCAGUAACCUAAUACGUUAUUGUUUUGACGUUACCGACAGAAUAAGCACCGGCUAACUCUGUGCCAGCAGCCGCGGUAAUACAGAGGGUGCAAGCGUUAAUCGGAAUUACUGGGCGUAAAGCGCGCGUAGGUGGUUUGUUAAGUUGAAUGUGAAAUCCCCGGGCUCAACCUGGGAACUGCAUCCAAAACUGGCAAGCUAGAGUAGGGCAGAGGGUGGUGGAAUUUCCUGUGUAGCGGUGAAAUGCGUAGAUAUAGGAAGGAACACCAGUGGCGAAGGCGACCACCUGGGCUCAUACUGACACUGAGGUGCGAAAGCGUGGGGAGCAAACAGGAUUAGAUACCCUGGUAGUCCACGCCGUAAACGAUGUCAACUAGCCGUUGGAAUCCUUGAGAUUUUAGUGGCGCAGCUAACGCAUUAAGUUGACCGCCUGGGGAGUACGGCCGCAAGGUUAAAACUCAAAUGAAUUUGACGGGGGCCCGCACAAGCGGGGAGCAUGUGGUUUAAUUCGAAGCAACGCGAAGACCUUACCAGGCCUUGACAUCCAAUGAAUCCUUUAGAGAUAGAGGAGUGCCUUCGGGAGCAUUGAGACAGGUGCUGCAUGGUGUCGUCAGCUCGUGUCGUGAGAUGUUGGGGUAGG
rnacentral:rRNA from 1 species